GUCAUAUGCUUGUCUCAAAGAUUAAGCCAUGCAUGUCUCAGUACAAGCCACAUUAAGGUGAAACCGCGAAAGGCUCAUUAAAUCAGUUAUGGUUCCUUAGAUCGUACCCACAUUUACUUGGAUAACUGUGGUAAUUCUAGAGCUAAUACAUGCAAACAGAGUUCCGACCGGAGACGGGAGGAAUGCUUUUAUUAGAUCAAAACCAAUCGGCGGCGGGUGCGCUCGCGCGCCCGUUCGCCGCUCAACCUGGUGACUCUGAAUAACUUUCGGCUGAUCGCACGGUCCAGCACCGGCGACGCAUCUUUCAAAUGUCUGCCUUAUCAACUGUCGAUGGUAGGUUCUGCGCCUACCAUGGUCGUAACGGGUAACGGGGAAUCAGGGUUCGAUUCCGGAGAGGGAGCCUGAGAAACGGCUACCACAUCCAAGGAAGGCAGCAGGCGCGCAAAUUACCCACUCCCGGCACGGGGAGGUAGUGACGAAAAAUAACGAUACGGGACUCAUCCGAGGCCCCGUAAUCGGAAUGAGUACACUUUAAAUCCUUUAACGAGGAUCAAUUGGAGGGCAAGUCUGGUGCCAGCAGCCGCGGUAAUUCCA
rnacentral:rRNA from 1 species